AAUUGAGCAUACCACAAAAAAGUUCUCAUUUUGUGUCCUCCCAUCCCAUUCUCCUCACUAACCAAAGCUAUUACUACUGAACUAUUUCACAAACCCAUUUUGAAAGUCAAAAACCGAGCACUGAGUCUUUCUCUGUAAUCCAGCUACACCAACCCUAAUCUUCUCUGAGGUGAUGCACAGCUGUCACUGGGGAGAAAUGGAAUGCCAGGAAAUGCACAAAGGAAAAGCAUCCUGACAAAUGUUUUCAGCCUUAUGCGCCACACCACUAAAGAACAUUGCCACCUGCUGUAGGAUAUGAAGCUUCUGAAGCACAUGAGAAGUAAGAGGAAACAAUGGUCAUGCCCCCAAAGGUCUUGCUCCACAGAACUGGAGGGACACGUUCUGAAGAAUCCCAGAUUGCAUUCCAGAUGCACCC
ensembl:lncRNA ZBED5-AS1 ZBED5 antisense RNA 1